rnacentral:rRNA from 1 species
UACAGAGGUCUCAAGCGUUGUUCGGAUUCAUUGGGCGUAAAGGGUGCGUAGGCGGUGUGGUAAGUCGGGUGUGAAAUUUCGGAGCUCAACUCCGAAACUGCAUUCGAUACUGCGGUGCUUGAGGACUGGAGAGGAGACUGGAAUUUACGGUGUAGCAGUGAAAUGCGUAGAGAUCGUAAGGAAGACCAGUGGCGAAGGCGGGUCUCUGGACAGUUCCUGACACUGAGGCACGAAGGCCAGGGGAGCAAACGGG